rnacentral:misc_RNA from 1 species
CAAACCCUUGUUAGAACACGCACGCAUCUCUCUAACGCUCUCUCAAACACACACCACCACCACCACCACACACUCUCUAUCACCAUGUCCGUUGAGGAGGCCCAGAACGCGGCGGCGAUGGCCGACGAGGAGAUCCCGACGCUCGAGGCGGCUGAGGUGCCACAGAACGCGAAGCAGUCGAAGCGCUACGCCAAGGCCAUGGCCAAGAUGGGCCUCAAGCCGGAGUCCAACAUCACGAAGGUCACCAUUCGCAAGGUUGGCUCCCUGUCCUUCGCCAUGGUGCAGCCAGAGGUGUACCGCUUCCCUGGCACCAACACCUUCGUCAUCUUCGGCGAGGCGCAGCUGGAGGACACGAGUGCGCUAGCGCAGGAGGCUGCUGCCCGCGCUGCCGUGUCUGGUGCCGCGUCGGCUUCCUCUGACGCCGCUGCAUCUGUGCCGGCGGCGGAGGAAGAUGACGACGAGGAGGUGGACGCCGGCGACCUGGACGAGAAGGAGAUCAACGUGGUGAUGAGCCAGGCGAACGUGUCUCGCAACAAGGCCAUCAAGGCGCUCAAGAACAACAACGGCGACAUCGUCAACACCAUCAUGGAGCUAACCAUGUAGAGCCGAUGGGAAAGCAAGAGGUGGGAGGCGGCCGUGCGCUGCCGAUGACCUCUCCUGUGCACACGCGCGCAUCGACACAUGCUUACGCAGACGCGUCAGUGCAUCCGUCGGCGAUAUCCUACAUGUCCAACGUCUGCACGGCACGCGAAGAAAAGGUGAAGGUCGCCUUUUGCGUCGUUGGGCAUGCGUACCGAGGACAAGGCGGGCAAGGGGGGGGCGCGCACGUGCACAAGGCGAAAAUCGCGGCGAGAGGCACGUACCGGUGCUGCUCAUCUCUUCGCUCUUUUCAGUUGCGUGCGCGUGUUCGUCGGGUCCUGUGGGACAUGCGCGCCGUUUCCUCCUCGUCGUCUCCGUCUCCCUUCUCGUAUCUGUGUUUGCCUUGCGCGUGUCUUCCUGUUCGGUUUAGAAAAGUUAAAGUGCCAGCCUCCGCUGUCGCCGCCUCUCUCCAUUUCUGUUUUCCCCCUCACGAUCCCGCUCCUCGUGAAGGGCCGAGAGCGCACCGGAGUGCGUGCGCGCGGCAGAGGUGGAGGAGAGGAGCGAACAAGUACGUCCGUGUCUGUCUGCUGGUCUGCCCUUCUCACCUCCUUCCUGUCUCUCUCUCCCCACGCAGCUGCCGCAGCUGGAAUGGCCCACGCCUUGCGCGCACCGCCAUCACAACUCCCUUAAGAAGUCUAACCUAAGCAUGAGGAGGAGGAGGACAGGCACCGCGCAGGUAGCCCAUGUACACACGUACAUAUAUAUACAUAAGCUGCCACCACGAAAUUCUCUCCUGAAAGAAAAAAACGAAAACCGUUUGAGCAGCAGCAGCUUGCGUAAACGCCUAUCUC